rnacentral:misc_RNA from 1 species
GAUGAAGAACGUAGCGAAAUGCGAUAAGUAGUGUGAAUUGCAGAAUUCAGUGAAUCAUCGAAUCUUUGAACGCACAUUGCGCCUCCUGGUAUUCCGGGAGGCAUGCCUGUUCGAGCGUCAUUAAAAUCACUCAAGCUUAGGUUUACCUAUUGCUUGGUCUUGGAGAUGGAAGCCAAUUUAUUGGAAUCCUCUUCGAAAUUCAAUGGCGAAGACCCUUGCUCUCCCAAGUGUAGUAAUAACUUAUGUCACUGAAGGAAGCGAGAAAUCUUCUGCCGUAACCUCCAUAUUUUCUAUGAUUGACCUCGGAUCAGGUAGGGAUACCCGCUGAACUUAAGCAUAUCAAUAAGCGGAGGA